rnacentral:rRNA from 1 species
UACGUAGGCAGCAAGCGUUGUUCGGAGUUACUGGGCGUAAAGGGUGUGUAGGCGGUUGGUUAAGUUUGGUGUGAAAUCUCCCGGCUCAACUGGGAGGGUGCGCCGAAUACUGAAUGACUUCGAGUGCGGGAGAGGAAAGUGGAAUUCCUGGUGUAGCGGUGAAAUGCGUAGAUAUCAGGAGGAACACCGGUGGUGUAGACGGCUUUCUGGACCGUAACUGACGCUGAGACACGAAAGCGUGGGUAGCAAACAGG